UGAGAUCAUUCAAGAAGCCC
rnacentral:miRNA from 1 species